ACACCAAACACACACAAAAGUGUGUGUCUGGUCGAUCUCUACACAGGGGCGACAUAAGGGUUUCCCCACAACCCUAAUCCAAUCAAUUUCCAUCAAAUUGAAGCCCCUAAUCAGUCUAAAAUCAAGUUUCAAGCACGAAAUAGUGAUCACCUCGCUGAAAGGAUCACAAGGCAAAGAAUCCGGACCGUCAAGCGGACACGCCGGAGGAGAUACGCGUUUGAAGGGUGUGCUUUAAAGGUAAAGAUGGGGUCUUUCCGGAUGGUGAUCAAGCAUGUUAUCAAGAACCGAACACGAAUUUUUGAAGCUUCCGCGUCAACUUAACUUUGUCUAGACAAUGUUUUUGAUGUAAAUGAUUUGCUAAUCAUGUUAUGAAUGUUUAAACUAGUCGGUAGUUGACUAGUAGGUGAUACUUAAAAACUUUGAUUUUGUACUUAUGUUAAACUAAGGUACUCUAUAUAUAUAAUUAAGUAUAUUGUAUUAUA